UACAGGGGGUGCAAACGUUGCUCGGAAUCAUUGGGCGUAAAGCGCACGUAGGCGGUCUGUUAUGUCGGAUGUGAAAGCCCUUGGCUUAACUGAGGAAGUGCAUCCGAAACUGGCAGGCUAGAGUACUAAAGAGGGUCGCGGAAUUCCCGGUGUAGAGGUGAAAUUCGUAGAUAUCGGGAGGAACACCGGUGGCGAAGGCGGCGACCUGGGGUAGAUACUGACGCUGAGGUGCGAAAGCGUGGGGAGCGAACAGG
rnacentral:rRNA from 1 species